rnacentral:lncRNA from 1 species
UCCCCCUUUUUUUGUUUGUGUUUGGCAUUUUCCUUCACCUGGUUGAAGCCCCUCCCCCACCCCCACCACACUCCGGAGUUUUAUGUUGCUUAGCAACUACCAUGCCUGGUAUUUCUAUGCCUAACUAAAAUCCUAUUUCCCACAGCCCAGACACAGAGGAGCUUCCCUCUUCCCCAUAAUCUUACUUACUUUGUGUCAAGAUCACCAUUCUUCUGGGUCCAAGCUAAUUCUUAAGGAUGGUACCGUCUGCCUCCCUGAAAAGAAAUGGCUGAUGUAUCUUGAAGAUACAAAAUUGUUGAGUUUUUGAUCUACUGAGCAGUCUACUGAGGCAAAGGAAAGUUCUUAAGAUGGCUCCCCCUUCCAGGCACUGUCUGUAUUUUCUGGGAAAUACCAGGCAUUAACCUCUCCUGCACCCAGUCACUUGUCAGAGCUCAGGUCAUCCAUCUGCUCAGCCUGCUUAUCUGCAGCCAAGUGUACAUUCUUAAAGAUUCCUUCUUCAUGUGAUUGGUACCUGCUGAUGCCUCUGCUGAUGAAAAUGUAGUCUACCCACUUCACAGUUCAGAAAGUUGUAGUACAUGUGUCCAGGAAGUAGGACAUUUAACUUACCAAAGGGUAUAGUCUUUAAUAUAUUUUUAUUUGGCCCCUUUUAACUAGAAUCAUAAACAACAUAGUAGGAGAUAAAAAAUAAUUUUUUGUAGCUUCAAGUAGCUUAGUUUGUGGGAAAUCACUGGUUAGGGAACAAAAAACAUGACACCAUCAUGUCACAAAGGUUGGAUGGAACAAAGAAUUCUUAGCAUGUGAUAGCUAGAAAAUAAUUAUUUCUGAAAGUGAAAGGAUACAUACCAUCUACUAGGUGUUAUUAAUGAGAUGCACCAUUUUUUCUGUAAUAAAAAGUAAGUUUUCAGUCUUAUAAAGCAAUUCUUUUUCCUCAAUAAUUUCUCCCCAGAAAACACUGUUAUGGAUGAGUAACAGUGCUGGGUUUCCACAUAACUAAACUGGACUUGAGUAAUCAUUCCUGAUUGUACUUAACAGCGUCAAACAUCUUAUGACACAGAUGUCCUGAAGAGCUUUGCUAAUUUGGUGACCUUGAGUAUGGAGAUCAAUGAACGAAAACAAACUCUUAGAUUUAAAGUAACAAACUCUUAGAUUUAAAGUGAUGUUCAGUGUGGAACAGAAUC